rnacentral:rRNA from 1 species
UACGGAGGGUGCGAGCGUUGUCCGGAAUCAUUGGGCGUAAAGGGCGCGUAGGUGGCCUGCUAAGCGUGCGGUGAAAGCUCGGGGCUCAACCCCGAGUCGGCCGUGCGAACUGGUGGGCUUGAGCACUGUAGAGGCAGGCGGAAUUCCGGGUGUAGCGGUGGAAUGCGUAGAGAUCCGGAAGAACACCGGUGGCAAAGGCGGUCUGCUGGGGUAAUGCUGACACUGAUGCGCGACAGCGUGGGGAGCAAACAGG